rnacentral:ncRNA from 1 species
ACAAAUGCAAUGAAGGAGAACGGUAUUUUGCAUAAAGCAGUUUCAGAGAGUCGGUGGUAGCUGUGAACCGAUACUGUCGUGGAAUACAAAUCCCUCCCAAGCAGUUCCUCUGAAACCAGAUACAUAGCUCCAGUAAGAGGUAAACGGUAAGCCCCGUUAUAGGCAAGGGUUUGAUAGAACCUAGAGAGUGGUUUCUGCUGUGAAGUAGAUGCAAGUUAGGGUGGUAACGCGCGGAAUAAUUCCUCGUCCCUGUA